AACAGGAUUAGAUACCCUGGUAGUCCAUGCCGUAAACGAUGAGUGCUAAGUGUUGGAGGGCUUCCGCCCUUCAGUGCUGCAGCUAACGCAUUAAGCAUUCCGCCUGGGGAGUACGGCCGCAAGGCUGAAACUCAAAGGAAUUGACGGGGGCCCGCACAAGCGGUGGAGCAUGUGGUUUAAUUCGAAGCUACGCGAAGAACCUUACCAGGUCUUGACAUACUAUGCAAAUCUAAGAGAUUAGACGUUCCCUUCGGGGACAUGGAUACAGGUGGUGCAUGGUUGUCGUCAGCUCGUGUCGUGAGAUGUUGGGUUAAGUCCCGCAACGAGCGCAACCCUUAUUAUCAGUUGCCAGCAUUAAGUUGGGCACUCUGGUGAGACUGCCGGUGACAAACCGGAGGAAGGUGGGGAUGACGUCAAAUCAUCAUGCCCCUUAUGACCUGGGCUACACACGUGCUACAAUGGAUGGUACAACGAGUUGCGAACUCGCGAGAGUAAGCUAAUCUCUUAAAGCCAUUCUCAGUUCGGAUUGUAGGCUGCAACUCGCCUACAUGAAGUCGGAAUCGCUAGUAAUCGCGGAUCAGCAUGCCGCGGUGAAUACGUUCCCGGGCCUUGUACACACCGCCCGUCACACCAUGAGAGUUUGUAACACCCAAAGUCGGNGGGGUAACCUUUUAGGAACNCAGCCGNCUAAGGUGGGACAGA
rnacentral:rRNA from 1 species